UACGUAGGGGGCAAGCGUUGUCCGGAAUCAUUGGGCGUAAAGAGCGCGUAGGCGGUCCGUUAAGUCCGCUCUGAAAGCCCGGGGCUCAACCCCGGGAGGCGGGCGGAUACUGUCGGGCUAGAGUCCGGAAGAGGCGAGUGGAAUUCCUGGUGUAGCGGUGAAAUGCGCAGAUAUCAGGAGGAACACCGAUGGCGAAGGCAGGUCUCUGGGCCACUACUGACGCUGAGAAGCGAAAGCAUGGGGAGCGAACAGG
rnacentral:rRNA from 1 species